rnacentral:rRNA from 1 species
CCUACGGGAGGCAGCAGUGAGGAAUAUUGGUCAAUGGACGAGAGUCUGAACCAGCAAAGUAGCGUGAAGGAUGACUGCCCUAUGGGUUGUAAACUUCUUUUAUAUGGGAAUAAAAUGUUCCACGUGUGGGAUUUUGUAUGUACCAUAUGAAUAAGGAUCGGCUAACUUCGUGCCAGCAGCCGCGGUAAUACGGAGGUUCCGAGCGUUAUCCGGAUUUAUUGGGUUUAAAGGGAGCGUAGGUGGAUUGUUAAGUCAGUUGUGAAAGUUUGCGGCUCAACCGUAAAAUUGCAGUUGAAACUGGCAGUCUUGAGUACAGUAGAGGAGGGCGGAAUUCGAGGUGUAGCGGUGAAAUGCUUAGAUAUCACGAAGAACUCCAAUUGCGAAGGCAGUUCACUGGACUGCAACUGACACUGAGGCGCGAAAGUGUGGGUAUCAAACAGGAUUAGAUACCCGAGUAGUC